rnacentral:lncRNA from 1 species
CCAAUCUAUAGCAGGGAAAAGAUUAAAACACUCAGUCAUAAGGGGUGUCACAAUCACAUGGUUAAAACGAAGCUCAAUUUUAGAUUUAUUUUUUUUCUCCAAUCUUAGGUUUGUAUAUUUAAUAUGAAACGCAAAAAAAUAGCUAUGUUGUUUUGAAUAUUUCUUUUUAUUUUCAAUUAUUAUUUGAGUCCCUUAAAGAGAAACAGUCACUUUUCAGGAUAUGUAGUAUUCCGUUUUCUUAUCCCCUGUAUUUAACAAAUACUUUAUUUGUGAUGUCUGAAAAAUAAAAUAAAAUCCACACCGCUAUAUUUAGGUCCAUCACGUAACUGAGCACCGCCAUCUUGGCUCCUGGGCAAUCAUUUUUAUAAUCUGUGCGCUUUGCACGUGUCAGUCAAAGAGUUAAACCAGAAACAUUGUUUCUAUCCUUCCUAGCUUUGCCAGGACUGAAUCGCUUUGUGAUGUGGAUUACUGAAUCUUUGAAUGAGUAGUUUAGGCACCGUAGCAACUGCAUCCUAUUGUAGUUGGCCCUAUCCUAUGGUAAGUUCUUAAACUUUUAGUGAACUGUUUAACACUUAACUGGAAACCCAUGGUCCAUCUAGUAUGCUGGAUAUUGCUAACUCAGAAGUUCUCACUAUGCUUUAGAAUAAUCAGUUUUCAAAUCAAUAAAAUUUUGUCCCUAUUUGGACGCCAUUCGUUGGCUGAGAGAUUCCGUUAAUGCUCUUAAAAUGGAUAUUGCUAAUAUGGAAUAGGAAUUUUGGCUUUAGCGAUAUCCAAAACACCGGGGCCUGAGUGUAACCAGGUAAGUGUCAGACUGUUCAAAAGCAGUAUUGACUACUUACCAUGACGUAACUCGAUGAGACCAUGGCACCAUAACCACUACUGUGGAAGGUUUGGCUGCCUCUUUAAUAUGCAUUUUAAAGAAAUCAGAGCAUCACGUGAAAAAAAAAUAAAGAUAAACCUAAGUAUUGUUUGAUUUAUUUUAUGUUUUUUUUCUCAAUGAUUUAAUAUCCAGACAAGUGACAUUUCUUCUUUAAGUGUUUGUGAACCAUCACUCCUGUCUCAGGCUAAGUAGGCAAGUUGGAUUCACUCUUGGGAUAAAUAAAUAUACAUAAUAUAGGAAAAUGUUGUUUAGGGAUGAUAGUCAAUGUGCACUCAAUUUAAAGUAACCGAAUGGCCAUAUUACAGUGUAUGUAUGCAUAAUUGUAGAGGCAAGCACUCACAUUAAGGUAAGGUAGUACAUAUAGAAAAGGCUAUCAUCUCCACCAUGUUUUUAGGGACAAAAACCAUUUUCAUAAUUUUUAUGAAAUCGCAUGAAAAGAGUUGCCAUGCAGUACUUAAAAAGCAUAUUCUGCAGGAUUCUUCAUUGCCUAAUUGCUUUUUUUUAUACACCUUCUGAAUGCUACAUACUACAGGGCAACCAUUUUCAUGUGCUGCCCAUCAAUAUGUAUACGUGAUUAUGGGUCCCUGGAAAUAUGUUGCCUAUGGUAACUCUCUAUAUCAGGCAUAGGCAACCUUUGGCAGUCUAAAUGUUUUGGACUACACCUGCCAGCAUUAUGGGGGAAUGUAGUCUACAACAUCUGGAGUGCCGAAGGCUGCCUAUCCCUGGUCUAUUUACAUGCAUAUUCCAAAACGGCUUGCACUCAUGGGGAUCCAUUAAAUCCAUUGCCCAGUCCUAGUAACCAGCUGUUUUCACACAAAAAUUUUCCCCAAAAUGUUCAGCAAUCCUGGGACUUAUCACCAAAAACGUACCUUCUAACAAGAUCAACGUUUCAGUUUAAAAUCAUAAAAUUUCAUCAGGACAGUUAAGAUUACGGUGAUAAGUCCCAGGAGUGCUCACUGUUUUUUGGAAUAAAUGAUAUAUAUAUAUAUAUAUGUUUGGCUUUGAGACUCUGUGUCUUCUAAGAAUGUUUAGAUCCACCCACUCCCUCGCCAAGUAUUCUUUUAUUUUGAGGUGUUUCCAUCCACUUUGCAAUGUAAGGGUGUGCACUUCUGUGAUUAAUUCAUUUUUAAUAUAGUUGAAUGCUCCCAUUAAUUUCUCUCUAGUAGCAGAGCAACCAAGAGACCAACUCUAUGGUAACAAAACAGUUUAUCCUUGGGGUUAUCACAUCUGCCAUGUUUUCAAGGACACUAUCAUUUUGUCAAAUUUAUGAAAACACAUGAAAAUGGUUUGCCCUGCAGAAUGUAUAAUACAUAUUCUGCAGGAAUCAUAAUUGCCCAAUUACUUAAUCUUAUAUACCUUCUUGUGAAUUCUACAUACUGCAGGGCAACCCUUUUCAUGUGUUACCCAUCAGUAUGUAUAUGUGAUAUGUGUCCCUGAAAACAUUGUGGAUGUGAUCACCCUAUUUAUUCUACCAUGCUCUGCCAUAAGCUACCCAUUUUUUUUGCUGUUACCACCACUAUUUUAAGAAACCUUGCUUCCUUCUUGCUAAUGUUAGGUGAAGUAGGGAAGAUUGGAGGUUCUGACCUUUCAUUGUUCCAAUUGCAGCCCAGUAGUAAGUAUUGGGCAUAUCCAUCUCUGCUUCAAAGGGAAGCUUAAAAUGUCCCCAAGCACAGAGGUAUUUUUUAAAUUCGCUGCUGACCUAGUGGUCCAGGAUGAAGACAUUCUAGAGCAGGGGUGAUCACAAGAUAGAUCCCUAGAUGUUUUAAAAACUACAACAUCAGGGAUCUACCUUUUGGGCACCCCUGUCCUAAAAGACUAUCCUUGAAGGUUCAUCAGGCUAAUAUAUAAGAACAAUUUUAAGGACUCUAGUGGGCUAAAUAAAUUACCUUUCCUUGUGAGUGCUUGUAUGUUUUAAAGCCAUACAUUUUGCAGGUGUCCAUGUAUACAUACACACAUUACGUUUAAAUGGAAUCUGGUCACUUUAAGUCUGAGCAUAACAAACUAGACGGCUUGCUGAAUGUUCUUAAAUACAAGUACCUCCUUAUCCUGGUCUAGAAACGAGUUUCGCACUGGGAUAAAUUGCUGUGCCGUGUGGCACGCGGAAAACUUUAGGCGUGGUCUAUAUGCCUCUAUUGAAAAUAAUAGGAUCUUUUAUCAUUAUUCUUUACUUUGUUCUUCAGAAUAUAUAUAUAUAUAUAUAGAUAGAUAGAUAAAAUUUCUAUAAAUUAGUGCAUUGAAUUGCCACAGCCCUCCAGCAAGUCAUGUAAGUUUAUUUAAUAUUUCUGUUUAUUUGUUGAGAGAUUAAACUGUGUUGACGGUGUAAAUUAAAGUGUCCCGCACAUGCUGAACUCACUUGCGUCUGUUGACCCACUAUCACAACAUGAGGAUCUGACGCAAAACCCCUUGCUUUCACUUUGUAGCACUUCAAGGGUUAACAGACAGGGUUCAGUGAAACAGCUAUGCAAGUGGCGUUAGACUGCAAUGGGUUAAAAAAAAAUCAAAAAUACAUUUAAAUUUCCAUGUAUCCUUCCAGGCGAGCCGCUCACAUACUUGAGGGUUAGACGUUUUGAUGAAAGACCUUUCAGGAUUAACUAACUGUUAGUGCUGUCAUAGUAAAAAAGUAAUUUUAAGAAGCCCUAGUCCUGGAAGAGUUAAAAUAAAUGUUACCAUCAUUUUUAAAAUGCCUAUAGAAAGACUGCAAGUUUUAUUUAGAAAUUUGAUGAUAGAACUGAAAUAAAUUAAAGUUUUUAGUGAAGAUAAUUGUCAUGAAGCAUCGUGUGCUAAAGGGACGCUUUAAGAACCACAACCACUACAGCUACAGUUGUGUUUAUGGUGUCAGCAUGUGCUGUCCCCUAGUUGUGUGUUAGAUUAUGAGCGUUUUGACACAGACCAAAGGCCCCUAAUAAUCCAUGGCCCUCACUCCUUCCACUUCUGCUUUAGCAAUAUAGGUUUUGACAGAAUUUGAACGUCAUGUGAAAGGUGAUAGUGUCAUCUGAUGUGCUUAGCCAAAGAGCGUCGUCCAAAUACGAGCAGAAUUUAUAUUGCUACUUUGGAGGUGUAACUUCAACUUCCACAUUCGCUCUAUGCAGAGCACUAUGGUGCUUGAAGUAUCUAGUUAGGUUUUCAUGAUUUUAUCACCGGGUGAUUGUUGAACAACCAAUAAGAUGACAACCACAUUGCAUCCCCCAAACAUCUCCCAUCAUGGCUGAAUUUCAAGAUCAGUUGUUUUGAUAUAAAUUUGGUUGUCAACUUGUCAGCACACACAGCAGGGGAAUAAUCCCGCUGUGUGAAUUAUAUAUGCGGCAAAGUUCCUUGAAUACGUCCAGUGUCUUUAUUGGAUGUUCUAGGUCAGUGUUUGUAAAGGGCGAUAUAACUCCAUGUAGUGGUUAUGCUGCCAAGAUUCCAUGGGUGCUGUCACAUGUAUUCUGUAAAAACAAUUAGAAGAGGUUUGACAAAAACUAUGACUUUCCCCAGAACUCACAGACUGCCCUGUCUUCAGCCAAACUGAAAAAGGCACAAUUUACACUUCUGCAUAAUCAAUAUUACUUAUGUCCAACUUUAAUGUCAUAGAUAAGCUUAGAGCACUUUGCUAAACUACCCCCAGCCCUCUUGGCCUAUCAUUGCCAUCUGGGUUUGAUGAAAUAUAUAUUGGUAAGUGUAAAUUCUGCAUUAUCAAGAAGUCUAAAGAAGGGGUUGUCUCUGGUUUAUAUUUAGAGACCCAGUUUUUUUUGUCAAACCGCUCCUAACCAAGAGACCGUAUCCAGAGAAUCUUGAUAGGAUUAUGACAACACUGAGCUGUAGCGAAUAUGUUGUGUAGAGUGUCCCUUUAAUUCUUCUCAGGACCUAUCAACAGGGUAGACGCGUGUCAUAUUCCUGUUUUAGCAUACAUGAGUAAAUCCGGAACUCAGUCCUAUUUUCAGAGGGAGACAUGCAUUAGCUGGGAAUAGCUAAAAUUCAGAGUACUAAAUCCACAGAACAGUCAUUUUCUAUUAGAUUUCAAUCUGAAAUGUGCUUAUCAGUAUCAGCAUAGAAAUACCAGGCUAUGUAAUGACAUCCUCCACCUCUCGGUUAGUGUAGGGGUUAGUGAAUUCAGGCCCAAGGUGUUUCUGAAAUCUAGCAUUGCCUGAUUCCCGUCCCACACAAGGAAUGUCUAAAUCCUGGACUGAUGGUGUGGCUUCACAACUGGAAUGGAACCAUUGCCCUAGAGGAAUUUUGUAUGUUAACAUAAUUUAUUAACUUAAUCUGGAGCAGGAAACUAGUGAUUUAUUAAAGGACCACUAAAGGUACACAAAUCACUUCAUCUCAAUGAAGUGGUGUGGAUGCAGUCGCUCUUUAGUUUUAGCUCUGCAAUCUAAAAUAUUGUCAUUUAGUAGAAACAGAAAUGUUUUGAUUGUAGUGCUAAACAUACCUUUAGUGACUGUCUUCCUGACAUCCACUAGAGGCACUGGCCUCAGAGUUUCAAUGCUUCCCUGUGAGAACAUUUGAUUGGACACAUUCUAUGCACACACACAACUUGUCCCCAAUGCUUCUCUAUGCGGAACAUUGAAUUGGACGAUCAUCAUGGAAGCCAUGCUUGCAGGGAGGAGGGCCCUGCCACAGCACUAAGUAGGUCUCGAAGCUGGGAAUAAAAGGGGGGAAUUAAAGGCACACCAAAAACAUGCAUUUUUCAGCAGUGUUGCCAUAGAGACCAAAACGUAUACAAAAUGAGGAUUCAGGAACACAACACACACAAAAGUACAGUUUCACGUUUUCCCAGGCUACUUAAUAUCUCUUAUCCCAUACGGCCAUAUCGUGUUAAUCCCACCACUACGUCACAGUACCUGAAUAACGGUUUGUCCUACAGUGCUAAAUGUGCUGAAGUGUAUUUAAUCUGUUGUAAGAGUAUUGUGAAUAUACAUUGCCCUCCACUAAUAUUGGCACCCUUGAAAUGAGGCUGUGAAAUUUUGUGUUUAUUGUUUAACUUUUUGAUCUUUUGUUAAAAACCUUAUGCCGCACAUCCUUUUUCUUACCCGUUGUGAUAAAUGACUAAAGGGAAUUUGGCCUAUCUGUUACCGCAUAUUUAUACCCCUUUGAAACAGGAAGUCAUGGUUGAACAAUUUUCGGUUCCUAGUCACCUAGGAGUACUAAAAAGUUCAAAAUAAUGUAUUUAUUAUCACAAAACUUAAACGAUAAAUGAAAAAAAAAAUAUAUAUAUAUAUAUAUAUAUAUAUCGAUAUACUUAAAGUAUAUUUUUCUCGUAGGAACUCGUAUGGGUACCAAUAAUUUUGCCACACAUUAAUUUAACACUUUUUUUUUUUAAUUUAAAACUGGGUUGUGUUAGCAAUUGUUUGAUAUCCAUGGGAGUAGAGUAUGAUAAUAUUUAUUCACUGCCUUUUUUGCUCAUAUCUACCAAGGAUGCCAAUCCUAGUGGUGGGCACUGUAUAGAACGCAAAAAGAAUAUGAUUCAAAAACAAAAAAAAUAAUUUAAAAAAAUACAGUGUCAGAACUAAAAACUAUGCCUGCGAAGUAGUGGUGGGCUUAACUCGAUAUGGCCAUAUGGUGGAACUGAAUCCCCCAUGUUUGUUUGCUGAGAUAGAUCAUUUUACGUUGCCUUGUAAAAUGUAAAACUGUAUUUUUGUGUGCGCGUGUUCCUUAAUCUGAAAAACGGGAAUAAGUAAAACCUUUUUUUUUUUUUACAGGUCAAAAGGCAGAGUCCUGAAUCUAAAUAGAUAUAAAUAUAUGUUUCUUUAACAUCAUCAAUGCCUAAUGAACUAUGUUAACAUACAAAAUAGAAUCAAUUGGUCCACCAUGCUAGAUAUACCAGCCGAGAGCCAGGCAUAGGCAACCUUCGGCAUUCCAGAUGUUUUGCACUACACCUCCCAUGAUUCUUUGCCAGUAUUAUGGGUGUAAGAGCAUUAUGGGGGAUGUAGUCCACAACAUCUGGAGUGCCAAGGUUGCCUAUCCCUGGGCCAUAGCCAAAGAUAAAAUGCCAUUUACCAAUUAACUUAACCUGUGCAACUUGGAAGAACUCCCUAAUGCUAAAUGCAUUUGGUAUUCUCUUUUGUUAGACAGGGACCCAAAUUACAUUGAGUCAUAAAGCAAUUAGCUUGGUGUCCUAUUUUUGAAAUGUAAAAUAACUUCAGUGACCUAUUUUUCUAUUGUUAUAUAACAGAUAACAAAAUUAAUUCUGUAAAACACCUUGCACUUCCCAGUUCCCGCCUUGCAGUGGGGAAAGCAAUGCUAAUAAAGUGACUACUUUAUUAUGGGCAGUUAUCUGGGGCAUAAUCAGCAAACUACCUGUUCAGUCUACAGUAGAUAGCCAAAUAAUAGCAAGGGGACUCCAGUUUGGGUCCCAACCAAGGAAUUUAGAACCACGGUUUUUAAAACCAACUUUGAGCCCCGUGUCCAAUGUAGAGUGGGCUGAUCUAACAAAGAAAGGCUUAAAGAUGUAACAGAUUUGCUGUUAGGGUGAGAGGGAAACUUUGCUAAACCUACCUAGCCCUUAUAGGCUGCAGUCCUGGCCCCUUAUCAUGUGAUUAAAUAUUUAGCCCAUUGCAGAAUUUGCCAGGUCACACACCUCCCAUGCACCAGCAUCUACCUACACAAUACCUAGAGAGUAUAUGCAGAAGGCUUUAGUUCAUCUUGAAACUAUUCUCUCAAUGUCACCGGUAAUUCAUGCACCUAUGCUGAUUCAUCUGCAGGGAAAAAUUAAUUUUUUGAUAUUUUUUUGAUCACUAUGCUGUUAAUCUCAGACACUGGGGCCUUUUUAUUUUUGUUUAAUUGAGGCUUGAACUACCACGAUUAUUUGCUGGGAUCAUUUAUAGUCACAUUGGGAAUUAAAUGCACCACAGUUCGCUCAGAACUCCAAAAUGUUUUAUAUAUAUAUAUAUAUCUAUAUAUUAGCAUUGAGCACAUAAAUAUUAACUAGCUAUCAUAAUUUUGUUUUCCCCAGCUAUCAGGUACAACAAACUUUUUUUUUUCUCCAAUAUGAGUGCUUAUUUACUAAUAAUCCUUAGCACUUCCAGGCGCCCCUCUCCUUUGACCUUUAAAGGGACACUACGCCAAUUAUACCAACCUCCUUGCAAUUAAGUUGUUAUGGUGCCCGCAGUCAUCCUUUAAAGUUCAUGCUCACUUGAAUUCAUGUCAUGCAAAUUCUACUUUAUCUGUGCCGUUAUCCCAACCCAAUGCGUUUUGAUGUUUAUGCGAUCAUAUAGAACUUGCCCAGACCCAGUGGGUAUGAAGUGCUAGUUUAAAAUUGAUAUGGAUGAAUGUGUUACAGAGUCACAAAACGCCAGAGAAGUGGGGAGGAGGGUUACCAAUCUAAAGUCUUUAUGUAUUUCCACCUACCUCUGUUAGUCCCAACCUCUAACAUUCUACAACGGGUAUCAGCUUGUUCCAUUAUCUGCCCAGUCUAGGGCUGUUUGGGUUACUCCUCUAGCUAGGAUAACCUUUUUACCUUUCUAUUCACCCCCUGGCCAACGAUUUCCAUCAUAAAUAAAAGUAUUUUGGGUUUUCUUCUUCUGCACCUUAAUAUAUGAUAAUUCUGUUGUUCCCAUAGUCAAAAUAUGCCCCUUGACGUUUUCAGUAUAUCAAAGGAACAGCAGCCUGGACUUCUCAUUCUAGGAGAGUGCAAAUGGCCGCAAGGCCAGCCCUUUUCUCAAUCCACUCUCAGUUCAUGUUGGAAAUGAAAUGAAUUGCAACGGUCUAUGCCAAUGCCAGCAAAUUUGGUUUAAGUAUUACUUACAAACUUUGGUACUACACCCCAAACUCCAAACAGAUUGCCUCCUUAAUCUUUAGGCUGAUUUCUUUAGCCCCAGGCACGUACAUCAGGUAUAGGAUUUCUGCUGAGUAAUCCAUUUUUACAUUAUAAGUGAGGCAACUAGUGCUUACUUCUGACUUUAAAUAUUCUGCCUUUGUUGUGUUUUAUAUGAUAUAUACACAGAUUAGGAGAUUGCCCUAAAUUAUCUUUAAAUCCAGCAAUCCUGGGUUUGUAUCUAAUAUAGUGUGCCGUCUUUACUACGAAAGAUUAGGAAUUUUAUUCUUACAUAGGGAGACCUAUUGAUUAGAAUAUCAGGGAGUGGCUCAGACAAUGCUAGGUUUACACUUUUAAUUUUGUAGGACAGGGCUGUCCAACGAUCAUUACCACAAGCCACAUGCAUAACCUCUUCGGUUUUGUGUGGACAUCAAUCUUCCAUAUCUCAUUUAACAUGUUGUCUUCUUCUUUUUUCCAAAAGGGUCUGGCCUACCAGCACGUUAGUCUAAUGAGUAUACGACCCAAUCCAUAAAUACAGUUGGACAGCACUGCCUUAUAUUUUUAAUAAUGUUUGCCUUUUUGUUUGUUUGAUUUUCUUUUUAAAUUAGGGAAUAUCUCUGAGCCUAAGGCAUCAGUAACCAAGGGUUGAAGGUAAACCUUGAGAUAGGCAUCUCUUAAUUGUUCGUAACAUGGGGUGGAUGCGCUGUGGACGCCUUUUGCAAAUGUAUCUAUGCUUUGAUGUUAUUAAAAAAAAAUAAAAAAGUGGGGGUUAGCUGUUGUCUAGUAUUGUCUGUGUCAACGUAUAUUUUCAGGGACUUCCCCCCAAAUCCCCUCUCUUCCCCCUUUUUUCUCCGUUCUCCCCUAUUCUCUAAAAAAAAACAAAAAAUAAUAAUGCCUGUCUAUUUUUUUACUGUAAUCUUUAUAUGCAGAGAGCCUAUAAAUGCUGUAUUAAGAAUAAGGAAAUGCCAUGCUAACGUUUUAAGGUUUUUAAUGUCUUCUUUCUGUCCCCUGCCCUCCUCUAUAGUGUUGCGCUACGGAAAAUCUCUUGAAUUUAACUAUUUUCUGAUAUAAGAGAGAGUCAGCCCUUGCCCUUAGGAUAAAGUAAGAGAAUGUUAACUAUUACAUUGCCAAAGAUCUGGUUGGCCUGAACUUGUGGCACUGAAAUGGUUAAAUUGGGGUGCAGAGGGCGUGUAAGCUCAGGAAUUUUGGUUUGCGUUUACCCCAUCUGUAUUGGCAGGGCUGACUUCUCCCACGCCUUUGUUUUCAGUUUUCCUUCAGUAAAAUAGGCUAAGUUAUUAAUAUUGAACGUCAUAUACACACACAACUUACCUCAGAACAGUGACAGGAGGGGGAAAUGUGAGUUGCGUGGGGGGCAUGUGGAUCCCACCAUUCUCUACACCCUCCUGUUAGUUACCCUCCAAAAUCCCCCUCCCCCUGAAACCUUGAGUUGUACCCUAUUUUCUAGAUAUUCCUCUCCUCACCUGUUUUUUAUUUUAUUUUUAUUUUUUUUUAUUUUUUUUAUUAUUAUUGUUUUUUUUAUGGUCCCGUUUUUCGAGGGCCAAGUGUCCUUUCCACCAAUAAAUUGUAAGCUUUGUAAUUACGUGUUGCAAUGCA